rnacentral:rRNA from 1 species
AUUCCAGCUCCAAUAGUGUAUAUUAAAGUUGUUGCAGUUAAAAAGCUCGUAGUUGGAUUUCUGGCGGGAGCGAUCGGUCCUUCACUCAGUGUUGGAACCUGAUUGUCUCCUGCCAUCCAUGGAGAAAACUUAUCUGGCAUUAAGUUGUCGGGUAGGCAAUCUCCAUCUUUUACUGUGAAAAAAUUAGAGUGUUCAAAGCAGGCUUAUGCCGUUGAAUAUAUUAGCAUGGAAUAAUAAGAUAGGACUAUGGUACUAUUUUGUUGGUUUGUGCACCAUGGUAAUGAUUAAUAGGGACAGUUGGGGGUAUUCGUAUUCCAUUGUUAGAGGUGAAAUUCUUGGAUUUAUGGAAGACGAACUACUGCGAAAGCAUUUACCAAGGAUGUUUUCAUCA